rnacentral:rRNA from 1 species
AUUGACCGCUGGCGGCAGGCUUAACACAUGGAAGUCGGGCGGCGGGAUGGUGCUCGCACUAUCACUUAGCGGCGGACGGGUGAGUAAUGCUUACGAAUCUGCCUAUUAGUGGGGGACAACAUCUCGAAAGGGAUGCUAAUACCGCAUCCGUCCUACGGGAGAUAGCAGGGGAUCACUUGUGACCUUGCGCUAAUACAUGAGCCUAAGUCGGAUUAGCAAGUGGGUGGGGUAAAGGCCUACGAAGGCGACGGUCUGGAGCGGGUCCGCGAGGAUGAUCCGCCGCACGGGGACUGAGACACGGACCAGACUCCUACGGGAGGCAGCAGUGGGGAAUAUUGGACAAUGGGGGGAACCCUGAGCCAGCCAUGCCGCGUGUGUGAAGAAGGCCUUAUGGUUGUAAAGCACUUUAAGCGAGGAGGAGGCUCUUUUGGUUAAUACCCAAGAUGAGUGGACGUUACUCGCAGAAUAAGCACCGGCUAACUCUGUGCCAGCAGCCGCAGUAA